rnacentral:rRNA from 1 species
AAUAGAUACCCGGUAGUCCACGCCGUAAACGAUGAGUGCUAAGUGUUAGAGGGUUUCCGCCCUUUAGUGCUGCAGCUAACGCAUUAAGCACUCCGCCUGGGGAGUACGGCCGCAAGGCUGAAACUCAAAGGAAUUGACGGGGGCCCGCACAAGCGGUGGAGCAUGUGGUUUAAUUCGAAGCAACGCGAAGAACCUUACCAGGUCUUGACAUCCUCUGCCAACCCUAGAGAUAGGGCGUUCCCCUUCGGGGGACAGAGUGACAGGUGGUGCAUGGUUGUCGUCAGCUCGUGUCGUGAGAUGUUGGGUUAAGUCCCGCAACGAGCGCAACCCUUGAUCUUAGUUGCCAGCAUUCAGUUGGGCACUCUAAGGUGACUGCCGGUGACAAACCGGAGGAAGGUGGGGAUGACGUCAAAUCAUCAUGCCCCUUAUGACCUGGGCUGCACACGUGCUACAAUGGAUGGUACAAAGAGCUGCGAACCCGCGAGGGUAAGCCAAUCUCAUAAAGCCAUUCUCAGUUCGGAUUGU